CACCGCGGUUAUACGAGAGGCCCAAGUUGACAAUCACCGGCGUAAAGCGUGGUUAUGGAACUUGUAAAACUAAAGCCGAACACCCUCUAGGCUGUUAUACGCAUCUGAGACUACGAAGCUCCCCUACGAAAGUGACUUUAUCCCUCCUGAACCCACGACAGCUAUGGCA
rnacentral:rRNA from 1 species